rnacentral:lncRNA from 1 species
GUUUUAGAAGAUGUGAUGCAUUGGCCUCCCCCUGCAGGAGUUGGGAACGCGCAGAUUCCGCGAAUCACAGUUUUCAGAUAUGGCUGAAAUUGAUAACCCAAGUGAGCAGCUCAGGGAUCAGGACCUGAGGUUUUCAGCACAAACGACAAGAGGUUCAAGUAGAAAAGCAGAAGCGGAACAUGCAAUAUGCAGCCCGUGCCUGGCUUCCCUCACUCAGCUUGACGAAAUCACAGAACAGAUUGUUCUCAAGGAGGCCCCCGUGGUGUUUUCCGGAGCUCCUCUGCCAGGUGGCAGUCUGAAAGACCCCCCCACCC